rnacentral:rRNA from 1 species
UACGAAGGGGGCUAGCGUUGUUCGGAAUCACUGGGCGUAAAGCGCACGUAGGCGGAUCUUUAAGUCAGGGGUGAAAUCCCGAGGCUCAACCUCGGAACUGCCUUUGAUACUGGGGAUCUCGAGUCCGGGAGAGGUGAGUGGAACUGCGAGUGUAGAGGUGAAAUUCGUAGAUAUUCGCAAGAACACCAGUGGCGAAGGCGGCUCACUGGCCCGGAACUGGACGCUGAGGUGCGGAAAGCGA